rnacentral:rRNA from 1 species
GACGAACGCUGGCGGCGUGCUUAACGCAUGCAAGUCGAACGGAAAGGCCCUGCUUUUGUGGGGUGCUCGAGUGGCGAACGGGUGAGUAACACGUGAGUAACCUGCCCUUGACUUUGGGAUAACUUCAGGAAACUGGGGCUAAUACCGGAUAGGAGCUCCUGCUGCAUGGUGGGGGUUGGAAAGUUUCGGCGGUUGGGGAUGGACUCGCGGCUUAUCAGCUUGUUGGUGGGGUAGUGGCUUACCAAGGCUUUGACGGGUAGCCGGCCUGAGAGGGUGACCGGCCACAUUGGGACUGAGAUACGGCCCAGACUCCUACGGGAGGCAGCAGUGGAGAAUAUUGCACAAUGGGCGGAAGCCUGAUGCAGCAACGCCGCGUGCGGGAUGACGGCCUUCGGGUUGUAAACCGCUUUCGCCUGUGACGAAGCGUGAGUGACGGUAAUGGGUAAAGAAGCACCGGCUAACUACGUG